UAUAUUUUGGUGUACGAGGCACAAGAGUUUUUGAUACUUUAGGAGCAGUUUAAUCCUGCAAAAUAUAA
rnacentral:tRNA from 1 species